rnacentral:rRNA from 1 species
GAGUGCUAAGUGUUGGAGGGUUUCCGCCCUUCAGUGCUGCAGCUAACGCAUUAAGCACUCCGCCUGGGGAGUACGACCGCAAGGUUGAAACUCAAAGGAAUUGACGGGGGCCCGCACAAGCGGUGGAGCAUGUGGUUUAAUUCGAAGCAACGCGAAGAACCUUACCAGGUCUUGACAUCCUUUGACCACUCUAGAGAUAGAGCUUCCCCUUCGGGGGCAAAGUGACAGGUGGUGCAUGGUUGUCGUCAGCUCGUGUCGUGAGAUGUUGGGUUAAGUCCCGCAACGAGCGCAACCCUUAUUGUUAGUUGCCAUCAUUCAGUUGGGCACUCUAGCAAGACUGCCGGUGACAAACCGGAGGAAGGUGGGGAUGACGUCAAAUCAUCAUGCCCCUUAUGACCUGGGCUACACACGUGCUACAAUGGGAAGUACAACGAGUCGCGAAGUCGCGAGGCUAAGCUAAUCUCUUAAAGCUUCUCUCAGUUCGGAUUGCAGGCUGCAACUCGCCUGCAUGAAGCCGGAAUCGCUAGUAAUCGCGGAUCAGCACGCCGCGGUGAAUACGUUCCCGGGCCUUGUACACACA